CAUGGAAGAUCUGACUUCUAGACUAAGAGGAACAACCGUAACUUUCCAGAGGGUUUGGGAACCAUGGGACAAUAGUGUAAUGGGCUCCGGUAACGAUUGAUGGGUCGAAUAUAUGGUUUAAAUCGGGACCCGACACUGCAUGGUCAGAGUCGGAAUGAAAUACCUCAGCCUUGUUCGCCUCACCGCCCAUCCCAUCCUCCCUACCCUUCAUAAUCACAUCUUUCUCGUCUUCUUAACCCCUCUUCCUCGCCUUAUCUUUUCUUUUCUUUCCCUAUCUUUCUUUUUCACGUUUUCUCCACCUUUUUACCUCUUUAUUUCUAACAUUGUCUCAGUCUAUGGUGGCAUUAUUUAUUUUCCUCACUCAGGCAUGAGUAUACUGACGGAGAAUUGAGG